GUCAAAUAUGAGAAAAUGUCUAUGACAGAUAUGUUCCUACCAUGAAUAUGACAAUAUGAAAAUGUUAAGUUAUUUCUUGAUUCCUCAACUCUAUUAUGGAUAUUCACUAUUUUAAAGGCUCCAAGUAUAUGAAACGAUGUCUUAUGAUCCCGUUCUAUGCUUUUAUUAUGAUGACACUCUCCAUUGAUAGUCUCGCCUUAUAUUAAUUGUCCCUUCAAGGUGAGACACAACGCCCACGGCUAUUCCAUAAUAUAAUCGGAGGUUACCGACCUUACGUCACUCCGAUAGAUACAUGACCUUCUUCGGGCUCUCAUGUAUGUUGCUUAUAUGAUAUAUGUAUAUGACACAUGGACAUGAUAUAUGUAUAUGUAUAUGGGAAAAAGGGCCAGAGCGUUAUAGACGCUGAUAUAUGUACAUGAUACACGUAUAUGUAUAUGGGAAAAAGGGGCCAGAGCGCUAUAGACGCUAUCCACCUGAUCAGUUGGCACUGUAUGACAUGAUAUCGUCCCGGACGCGGGAUGCCCGGACGCGGGAUAUAUGGGCGAGCCGACGUAUUUCGGCGCUAUGACAUGAUAUGAUAUGAUAUGACCAGAUAAGUAUGCAUGGCAUCCGCCUAAGCGGCACUCAUAUGUACAGGUACACCCAGAUGAGUUGAAGCUAAUAUAGAAGAUAUUCCAGCAGAGUUGGCAAGCUCCACUUAUUCCUCGAGUGCUACCGAGUCAGAGUACAUGUGCUACGAUGUCUGAUAAAUGUUAGAGACUUUGCAGACAGAGUCGUGGGUAUAGGAUGUCGGUAUUGUGAACGGCUCCACUAGCCUAUGUGUCAUUUUAUGUUAUGUUAUAAAGUUCAUAUGAUCACAGAUUA